rnacentral:rRNA from 1 species
AGUGAACGCUGGCGGUAGGCCUAACACAUGCAAGUCGAACGGCAGCACAGUAAGAGCUUGCUCUUACGGGUGGCGAGUGGCGGACGGGUGAGGAAUACAUCGGAAUCUACUUUUUCGUGGGGGAUAAUGUAGGGAAACUUACGCUAAUACCGCAUACGACCUACGGGUGAAAGCAGGGGAUCUUCGGACCUUGCGCGAUUGAAUGAGCCGAUGUCGGAUUAGCUAGUUGGCGGGGUAAAGGCCCACCAAGGCGACGAUCCGUAGCUGGUCUGAGAGGAUGAUCAGCCACACUGGAGCUGAGACACGGUCCAGACUCCGACGGGAGGCGCAGUGGGGAAUAUUGGGCAAUGGGCGCAAGCCUGAUCCAGCCAUACCGCGUGGGUGAAGAAGGCCUUCGGGUUGUAAAGCCCUUUUGUUGGGAAAGAAAAGCAGCAGGUUAAUACCCCGCUGUUCUGACGGUACCCAAAGAAUAAGCACCGGCUAACUUCGUG